rnacentral:lncRNA from 1 species
UCUCUUUCAAUAACAAUAUUCCUUCAUCAACUAAUAACCACAAUGUACAAUCCUAUAUUCUUAAAAUACCGUUCAAAACACAAUAAUCUCCAUCCAACACUAGGAAUAACAGACUUCAUUCCAACAAUCUGAAUUCACAUAAUUUCUGUAAUCACCAACUUUUUUUGUCUAAAACACACACAACUCUCAAUAAACAACAAUCAUAAUCUUUCAAUAACUCCUCAUAUAAUUCAAUCACUUAGUACUCCAAUUACAUAAUCAAUAACUCAUAAAUCAAUCUUUGAUUUAUUCCACAGACUCACUUCUCA